GAUGAACGCUGGCGGCGUGCCUAAUACAUGCCAGUCGAGCGGAAAGGCCCUUCGGGGUACUCGAGCGGCGGACGGCUGAGUAACGCGUAGGAACGUACCCCAAAGUGAGGGAUCACUGCUCGAAAGAGUAGCUAAUACCGCAUGUGCUCUUCGGAGUAAAGCUUCGGCGCUUUGGGAACGGCCUGCGUCCUAUUAGCUAGUUGGUGAGGUAAUUGCUCACCAAGGCGACGAUAGGUAGCUGGUCUGAGAGGAUGAUCAGCCAGACUGAGACUGAGACACGGCCCAGACUCCUACGGGAGGCAGCAGUAGGGAAUUUUCCACAAUGGGCGAAAGCCUGAUGGAGCAACGCCGCGUGCAGGAUGAAUGCCUUCGGGUUGUACACUGCUUUUAUAGGUGAAGAAUAUGACGGUAACCUAUGAAUAAGGAUCGGCUAACUCCGUGCCAGCCGCCGCAGUAAUAC
rnacentral:rRNA from 1 species